rnacentral:rRNA from 1 species
GCAGCAGUGGGGAAUUUUCCGCAAUGGGCGAAAGCCUGACGGAGCGACGCUGCGUGAAGGAUGACGGCCUGAGGGUUGUAAACUUCUUUUCUCGAAGAAGAAUCAAUGACGGUAUUCGAGGAAUAAGCAUCGGCUAACUCUGUGCCAGCAGCCGCGGUAAGACAGAGGAUGCAAGUGUUAUUCGGAUUGAUUGGGCGUAAAGCGUCUGUAGGCGGUUUAGAAAGUCUUUUGUGAAAUACUUCAGCUCAACUGGGGCUCCGCAAAAGAAACUUCUAGACUUGAGGGAAGUAGAGGUACAGGGAAUUUCCGGUGGAGCGGUGAAAUGCGUAGAUAUCGGAAGGAACACCAAUAUGGCGAAGGCACUGUACUGGGCUUUACCUGACGCUAAGAGACGAAAGCUAAAGGAGUGAUUAGGAUUAGAUACCCUAGUAAUUUUAGCCGUAAACGAUGGAAACUCACUGCCGAGCCGGUAUUCGGAGCGGUGGUCAAGCUAACGCGUGAAGUUUCCCGCCUGGGGAUUACGCAUGCAAAUGUGAAACUCAAAGGAAUUGACGGGGACCCGCACAAGCGGUGGAGUAUGUGGUUUAAUUCGAUGCAACGCGAAAAACCUUACCAAGGUUUGAAAUCAUUCUAAAACUCUUUGAAAGAAGAGCCUCCUUCGGGAUAGAAUGACAGGUGGUGCAUGGCUGUCGUCAGCUCGUGUUGUGAAAUGUCAAGUUAAGUCUUGUAACGAGCGCAACCCAUGUCUUUUGUUGCUGUUUACAGUGCUUAAAAGAGACUGCCGCUCUACAGCGGAGGAAGGUGUGGAUGAUGUCAAGUCAGCAUGCCCCUUAUAUCUUGGGCUACACACGUACUACAAUGGUAGGGACAAUGAGUCGCAAACCUGCGAAGGCUAGCCAAUCUCAAAAACCCUAUCUCAGUUCGGAUUGUACUCUGCAACUCGAGUGCAUGAAGGUGGAAUCGCUAGUAAUCGCUGGUCAGCAUACAGCGGUGAAUACGUUCCCGGGUCUUGUACACACUGCCCGUCACACCAUGGAAGUCGAUCCUUCCCUAAGUCGUUACUCGAACCUUUUAGGACGAGGAUGCCGAAGGCAGGGUUGGUGACUAGGGUGAAGUCGUAACAAGGUAGCCGUACUGGAAGGUGUGGCUG